rnacentral:rRNA from 1 species
UACAGAGGGUGCAAGCGUUAAUCGGAUUUACUGGGCGUAAAGCGUGCGUAGGCGGUUCAGUGUGUCGGUUGUGAAAUCCCCGGGCUUAACCUGGGAACUGCAUCCGAAACUGCUGGGCUAGAGUGUGGUAGAGGGCGGUAGAAUUCCAGGUGUAGCGGUGAAAUGCGUAGAUAUCUGGAGGAACACCGAUGGCGAAGGCAGCCGCCUGGGCCACAACUGACGCUGAGGUACGAAAGCGUGGGGAGCAAACAGG